rnacentral:rRNA from 1 species
GACGAACGCUGGCGGCGUGCUUAACACGUGCAAGUCGAACGGAAAGGCCCUGCUUUUGUGGGGUGCUCGAGUGGCGAACGGGUGAGUAACACGUGAGUAACCUGCCCUUGACUUUGGGAUAACUUCAGGAAACUGGGGCUAAUACCGGAUAGGAGCUCCUGCUGCAUGGUGGGGGUUGGAAAGUUUCGGCGGUUGGGGAUGGACUCGCGGCUUAUCAGCUUGUUGGUGGGGUAGUGGCUUACCAAGGCUUUGACGGGUAGCCGGCCUGGGAGGGUGACCGGCCACAUUGGGACUGAGAUACGACCCAGACUCCAACGGGAGGCAACAGUGGAGAGUAUUACACAAUGGGCGGGAGCCUGAUGCGACAACGCCGCGUGCGGGAAGACAGCCUUCGGGUUGUGAACCGCAUUCGCCUGUGACGAAGCGUGAGUGACGGUAAUGGGAGAAGAAGCACCGGCUAACUACGUG